rnacentral:rRNA from 1 species
GUAGGGAAUCUUCCACAAUGGGCGAAAGCCUGAUGGAGCAACGCCGCGUGUGUGAUGAAGGCUUUCGGGUCGUAAAGCACUGUUGUAUGGGAAGAACAGCUAGAAUAGGAAAUGAUUUUAGUUUGACGGUACCAUACCAGAAAGGGACGGCUAAAUACGUGCCAGCAGCCGCGGUAAUACGUAUGUCCCGAGCGUUAUCCGGAUUUAUUGGGCGUAAAGCGAGCGCAGACGGUUUAUUAAGUCUGAUGUGAAAGCCCGGAGCUCAACUCCGGAAUGGCAUUGGAAACUGGUUAACUUGAGUGCAGUAGAGGUAAGUGGAACUCCAUGUGUAGCGGUGGAAUGCGUAGAUAUAUGGAAGAACACCAGUGGCGAAGGCGGCUUACUGGACUGCAACUGACGUUGAGGCUCGAAAGUGUGGGUAGCAAACAGGAUUAGAAACCCUAGUAGUCC